UUUAUUGAGAGUUUGAUCCUGGCUCAGGACGAACGCUGGCGGUAUGCUUAACACAUGCAAGUCGAACGAGACGAGAUGGAAUGACCCUUCGGGGGAAUGAAAUCUUAGAAAGUGGCGAACGGGUGAGUAACGCGUGGGUAACCUGCCCUAUGGAAAGGAAUAGCCUCGGGAAACUGGGAGUAAUGCCUUAUAAUACAGUGAAGUCGCAUGGCUUUGCUGUUAAACGCUCCGGUGCCAUAGGAUGGACCCGCGUCCCAUUAGCUAGUUGGUGAGAUAACAGCCCACCAAGGCGACGAUGGGUAACCGGUCUGAGAGGGCGAACGGUCACACUGGAACUGAGACACGGUCCAGACUCCUACGGGAGGCAGCAGUGGGGAAUAUUGCGCAAUGGGGGCAACCCUGACG
rnacentral:rRNA from 1 species